rnacentral:rRNA from 1 species
GACGAACGCUGGCGGCGUGCUUAACACAUGCAAGUCGAACGGAAAGGCCCUGCUUUUGUGGGGUGCUCGAGUGGCGAACGGGUGAGUAACACGUGAGUAACCUGCCCUUGACUUUGGGAUAACUUCAGGAAACUGGGGCUAAUACCGGAUAGGAGCUCCUGCUGCAUGGUGGGGGUUGGAAAGUUUCGGCGGUUGGGGAUGGACUCGCGGCUUAUCAGCUUGUUGGUGGGGUAGUGGCUUACCAAGGCUUUGACGGGUAGCCGGCCUGAGAGGGUGACCGGCCACAUUGGGACUGAGAUACGGCCCAGACUCCUACGGGAGGCAGCAGUGGGGAAUAGUGCACAAUGGGCGGAAGCCUGAUGCAGCAACGCCGCGUGCGGGAUGACGGGCUUCGGGUUGUAAACCGCUUUCGCCUGUGACGAAGCGUGAGUGACGGUAAUGGGUAAAGAAGCACCGGCUAACUACGUG